rnacentral:lncRNA from 1 species
AACACCUUACCUUCUUCUUCGUGAAGUCAUCUUCUCCAACAAAAAAACCCUAGCCUUUCACCUUCUCCUUCAAUCUCCAUAGCUGCCCCCCAUCGCCGCUGCACCUUCCCCACGCCGGACAUACCACUGCCACGCCCCACGACCACACCUUCAUCCCCUCUUUGUCAACCCUAACCAAAACAAUCCCCCACGCCGUACCCCAGCGACGAUGACCAGUUCACAGACACGUCUCCAACCACCCUCACGUUGUCGACGAGCAGCCCUACUCUCUUCACCUCGUCGUCAACAGCCUAUUUUGUUCCAGCGUCAACCUCCAUCGCUGGCUACUCCAGCGAUCAGUCUUUCCAGCUAGCCCCGUCACGACCAUGUCCGUCGACCACCACGAACUCCAGCCCCAAACGUCAUUGCCAUAUCAACCAAACGACUAGUCCUUCAGCUUGAACGACGACCGAUUUCAUUUCGAGCUCCGGUGAUGGCUACUGUUCUUCUUUCUCCCUCGCCAAUCUAUUUUCUCUAUUACUGUUGCGACGAGGGUGAAUGAUCUGACCAAAUAUAUAAGUUUUUUGUCAACCCAUCUCCAAUACAUUCAACGGUAGGCACGAGCAGGUUAAUUUUCAUCACUGCCCUAGUUCUUCCUGUUCUCAUGAGGAUAUAUGUGUGUGAUGUUGAAUCACUUACUCAUGUGUUUUAAAUAAAUAAAUUAACUGAUGUUAUUGAGAUGGAAAAAUAGAUAGUUUGGUUUUUUGUAGAUCGAUUUCGUCACUCUUUUUUUAACAGAGGGAGUAGUAUUCAAAUUCUCAUUGUAAGUUUGAAUUGAUAUUGGUGAUAGGUAUGAUGUUCAUCAUGUUUUGUAUCUAUUUGAUGAUUAGAACACUAGAUAAUUAAAAUUGCUAGAUUUCAUGAGUUGGUACUAAUUUAUGCUUGUGUUUUGGGAUGUAUAAAUUCAUGUAUUCCUGUAAUUGAUAGGUUUUAUUUUGUUCAAAUAGUUUCAUUUUCUAUAUAUGUUUGAUUCCCUACCCUUUGUUUGAUUGAUCAUCAUAUUGAAUUCUUGCUAAUUCAUUUGUAUCUAAGUCAACCAUGAUUGGUUCCCAAUAUGGUUAGCUUAUUCCAUUUAAUCUAAUGCUUUAUGAUUCAAUUUGAGUUCAUGGGAUUUAUUGGUUGAAUAUGAUUUAGAUGAAUUGGUGAUAGUUGAUAGGGGUAGAAUAGUAAUUUUUCAGUAAUUUUGGGGUAUUUUUGGAAUUUAAAAUUUGGACAAUUAUUUAAUUUAAGUUCUUUGUCCACUAGACUAAUGCUCUUUUGUUUUUAUUUUUAUUUUUCCUUUCCUUCACUGAGCUGAGGGUCGAUUGGAAACAACCUCUCUGCCCUUUCGGGUAGCGGUAAUGCUCGUCUACAUAUUACCCUCCGCAGACCCCACUUUGUGGGACUAUAGUGGGUAGUUGUUGUUGUUGUACUUUGUCCACUAGAUUAAAGUAUUAUUAAAAUAAUAUAGUGGGAGGCAAGACAUAAUUAUGUCCAGAUGGGGUAAUAACGUGGUCUUCUUUAACCAUUAAAAAAGGGGGGAUUGUUGGACCCGUGUUGAUUACUUUUUGCUGAAUUAAAAUCAGAAAUAGUAUAAGUAAUGAUAAAGGUUAAAAUAUAGACAUAGAAGGGAAUAUAGGGGGGCUGAAAAUUAAAGUAAAUGGAAGGGUGAUAAUUAAAAGAGGGCAGUAAUAAUAAUUAAAGGGGAGGGGAAGAGAGUCUGGUUUUAGAGAAAAAUAAGAGUCAUUUGGCACACAAGAAAAAGAGAAGAUUUUUUCAGUCUAAUAGAGAUUCAAAAAGAAAUAGAACAAAAACCCCAUUAUUUUGAUAACUUCUUUCGAUAUUUUUUGAAAUAAAAAAAAAACUUAGAGAGAAAAAAAGUGUUCCAUUGUUUCCUCUUGAGUUCAUUUUUAAUCUAAAACUUAAUUUCAGUUUCUAUAAGCUCUUGAAAACCAGAAUAGUGCUUUGAACUAGAGGUUUUACUCAGGGAUACUGUUACGUCAGUUUUGAGAGCAGAAACAGUCAAAAUUCUUGUUUUCUGUUCUAUAUUUGUGUAUUUAAAACAUUUGAGUUGCUUGUUGAUCUGUGUGGAGUACAGUUUGUUUGGCCGUGUGGAUUUUUUACAUUGGUUUUGACUUUUUGCUGGAUUCUAAGUUGGUGUUCCUUCAGCUGCUGUUGGUUCUACCGUGUUGCUGAAAUUGUUGUUAUUUGUUGUUGGUUUCCUACUGAUCUUCACCUUCUUCUUUGCUUUUCCAAAUACCAGGUACACACAUCUGACACACUGGUUCAAUGUAGCUGAAACUUGAAGCAUGAAUAAAAAUGAAGUCUUAAAGCUUUGACUUCAUUUAGUCAUUUUGUAUUUUAAGUUGUGCAUAGUUAUUAGUCUUCACUAGAACAUGUAAAAUGAUUGUUAUGUAUGACUGAGUAUAAAUCUGUGAUAAUUUAGAUGAUAAACUCUUUCUUUC